rnacentral:rRNA from 1 species
GAUGAACGCUGGCGGCGUGCCUAAUACAUGCAAGUCGAACGGAGAUUGUAGCAAUACGGUCUUAGUGGCGAACGGGUGAGUAACGCGUUGGUAACCUGCCCCGAAGCGUGGGAUAACGGUCCGAAAGGACCACUAAUACCACAUGUGAUCCCGAGGAAUAGAUACUUGGGAUGAAAGGAGCAAUUCGCUUCGGGAGGGACCUGCGUCCCAUCAGCUAGUUGGUAGGGUAACGGCCUACCAAGGCGAUGACGGGUAGGGGACCUGAGAGGGUGGCCCCCCACAAUGGAACUGAAACACGGUCCAUACACCUACGGGUGGCAGCAGUAGGGAAUAUUGGUUAAUGUGCGAAAGCGCGAACCAGCAACGCCGCGUGUGCGAUGAAGGCCUUGGGUCGUAAAGCACUUUUUGCAGGGAAGAGGAAGGACGGUACCUGCAGAAUAAGUCUCGGCUAACUACGUG